GUAGGUGGCAAGCGUUGUCCGGAAUUAUUGGGCGUAAAGCGCGCGCAGGCGGUUCUUUAAGUCUGAUGUGAAAGCCCACGGGCUCAACCGUGGAGGGUCAUUGGAAACUGGAGAACUUGAGUACAGAAGAGGAAAGCGGAAUUCCACGUGUAGCGGUGAAAUGCGUAGAGAUGUGGAGGAACACCAGUGGCGAAGGCGGCUUUCUGGUCUGUAACUGACGCUGAGGGCGCGAAAAGCGUGGGGGAGCAAACAGGAUUAGAUACCCUGGUAGUCCACGCCGUAAACGAUGAGUGCUAAGUGUAAGGGGGUUUCCGCCCCUUAGUGCUGCAGCUAACGCAUUAAGCACUCCGCCUGGGGAGUACGGCCGCAAGGCUG
rnacentral:rRNA from 1 species